GACGAACGCUGGCGGCGUGCUUAACACAUGCAAGUCGAACGGAAAGGCUCUGCUUUUGUGGGCUGCUCGAGUGGCGAACGGGUGCGUAACACGUGAGUAACCUGCCCUUGACUUUGGGAUAACUUCAGGUAACUGGGGCUAAUACCGGAUAGGAGCUCCUGCUGCAUGGUGGGGGUUGGAAAGUUUCGGCGGUUGGGGAUGGACUCGCGGCUUAUCAGCUUGUAGGUGGGGUAGUGGCUUACCAAGGUUUUGACGGGUAGCCGGCCUGAGAGGGUGACCGGCCACAGUGGGACUGGGGUACGGGCCAUACGCCUACGGGAGGCAGCAGUGAGGAAUAUUGCACGAUGGGCGGAAGCCGGAUGCAGCAACGCCGCGUGCGGGAGGACGGCCGUCGGGGUGGAAACCGCGUGCGCCUGUGACGAAGCGUGAGUGACGGUAAUUGAUAAAGAAGCACCGGCUAACUACGUG
rnacentral:rRNA from 1 species